rnacentral:misc_RNA from 1 species
GAUGAAGAACGUAGUGAAAUGCGAUACGCAAUGUGAAUUGCAGAAUUCAGUGAAUCAUCGAAUCUUUGAACGCAUAUUGCGCUCUCUGGUAUUCCGGAGAGCAUGCUUGUUUGAGUAUCAGUAAACACCUCAACUUCCAUAUCUUUUUUGAAAUGGGAGUUGGACUUGAGUGAUCCCAACGCUUUUCCUCACCGAAAAGUGGCGGGUUACUUGAAAUGCAGGUGCAGCUGGACUUUUCUCUGAGCUAUAAGCAUAUCUAUUUAGUCUGCCUAAAAACAGAUUAUUACCUUUGCUGCAGCUAACAUAAAGGAGAUUAGUUCUUGUGCUGACUGAUGCAGGAUUCACAAAGACAGGCUUCGGCCGACUUUGUAAACUCGAUCUCAAAUCAAGUAAGACUACCCGCUGAACUUAAGCAUAUCAAUAAGCGGAGGA